rnacentral:sRNA from 1 species
GCCAGGUAUGGUUGCACACGCCUGUAAUCUCAGCAGCUCAGGAGGCUGAGACAGGAGGAUUGAGAGUUCAGAGCAAGCUUCAGCAAUGGUGAGGCACUAAGCAACUCAAUGAGACCCUGUCUCUA